AUUGAACGCUGGCGGCAGGCUUAACACAUGCAAGUCGAGCGGAGAUGAGGUGCUUGCACCUUAUCUUAGCGGCGGACGGGUGAGUAAUGCUUAGGAAUCUGCCUAUUAGUGGGGGACAACAUUCCGAAAGGAAUGCUAAUACCGCGUACGUCCUACGGGAGAAAGCAGGGGAUCUUCGGACCUUGCGCUAAUAGAUGAGCCUAAGUCGGAUUAGCUAGUUGGUGGGGUAAAGGCCUACCAAGGCGACGAUCUGUAGCGGGUCUGAGAGGAUGAUCCGCCACACUGGGACUGAGACACGGCCCAGACUCCUACGGGAGGCAGCAGUGGGGAAUAUUGGACAAUGGGGGAAACCCUGAUCCAGCCAUGCCGCGUGUGUGAAGAAGGCCUUAUGGUUGUAAAGCACUUUAAGCGAGGAGGAGGCUACUGAGACUAAUACUCUUGGAUAGUGGACGUUACUCGCAGAAUAAGCACCGGCUAACUCUGUGCCAGCCGCCGCGGUAA
rnacentral:rRNA from 1 species